rnacentral:sRNA from 1 species
GGUGACAGAGUGAGGGACGGAGGGGGUGACUAGUGAUAGAAGGAGGGAGGGAGUAGUGACAGAGGGAGGUGAUGACUAGUGACAGAGUAAGGGAGCUGGUGACUAGUGACAGUCACCACCUCCCUCACUCUGUCACAGUCAUCCCCUUACUCUGUCACUAGUCACCCCUCCCUUCCCUCACUCUGCCACUAGUCACCCCUUCCCUCCCUCUGUCACUAGUCACCACCUCCCUCUCUCUGUCACUAGUCACCCCCUCCCUCUCUCUGUCACUAGUCACAC